rnacentral:misc_RNA from 1 species
CUCUCGCUAUUCCAGAGUAAAAAGAAAGCACGUCUCUGGACCCAGAAAGCAGGAACCAUGUGCUUGAUAUCUGUUGUGUUCAAUCUGUUUGCACUUUGCCUGUACGCAGGAUCGUUUGACUCGAUAUCGUACGAUAUGAUUCCAAAGUGGUCAGCCUUGUACGACAUGGAGCUAUCGUGGUCUUUCACCAUUGGUUGCGUCGGGACAUGUCUUUCAUUGAUUGGGUCAACAACAUCCAUUUACAUGGCUCUGAAAUAUGGAACCAAUUUACACCUUACGACAAACGUUUCCCGUGUUCCUUCGUUGCAUAUUCAUCCUCCGCCAAGUAGUCGGUUAUCUUCGCCACCGAGGUUCGCAUCACCUCGGGUUUCUUCGCCACUUCCGUUCAGCACCAAAAAAUAUUCAUCUCAAGGGACUUACCCAAAACGGAAUAUAACACCUGUGCAUAUUUCAUGAAUUUGUGAAUAAAUGUUUUUGUUAUAAAUC